rnacentral:rRNA from 1 species
UACGAAGGGGGCUAGCGUUGCUCGGAAUCACUGGGCGUAAAGCGCACGUAGGCGGAUCUUUAAGUCAGGGGUGAAAUCCCAAGGCUCAACCUUGGAACUGCCUUUGAUACUGGGGAUCUCGAGUCUGGAAGAGGUUGGUGGAACUGCGAGUGUAGAGGUGAAAUUCGUAGAUAUUCGCAAGAACACCAGUGGCGAAGGCGGCCAACUGGUCCGGAACUGACGCUGAGGUGCGAAAGCGUGGGGAGCAAACAGG